UUCUCCCCGUAACAUUUCCCCCUACGUUCUGACUACUGGCCGGUGUUGAGUUCCUCAAGCCCUACGGGGAGGAAAGCUAGGUUUCGGUCCCCUUCCUCUCCUCCUGAAGUCGACAGGAUGGAGGAGAGGGAUGGGAGGAGGUGAGGGGCCAGAGGCAAGGUCUCGGAAGGGGACAGCCUGGAGACCUCCCGGCUGGCUGACGACCGACACCGAGCUUCCGGACGGAUCACCCGGAGUCUUUAAAAGCCCCAGGAGGGAAUGGGGCCCCGCAGAAGCAGACGGCAGAGCGAGUGGGAGACACGGACAGACCAGCUGCUAGCGCUUAACGGCCCCCGUGCCUGGUGAGGAAGGGGCCGCGGAGGGGCAGACAAAGAUGGCUGCGUUUGGACUGGACGAACCUCUCGCAAAGUAAAGGGAUUGAGGGUGUGGAGAAGCAGGCCGGGGCCUGAAAAGGAAAAGGAAGAGGAAAGUGCUUUAGGAGUUGAGAAUCAGUAAGCGCUCAAUAAAUCAGGAGAACGGUUCAUCGUCGUGACCGGCUGUCAAGCGAGGCCAAGUCCUGACGUUUUCCGACGUUGGAAAACCGGCUCGUCGGAAGAAGGGGCAAGCUGAGCACGUGACCCCAAAGCUAGGACCACCUGCCAGAUGCCAAGCGGGCCCACUGAGGGCUCCUUCGCCGGUGACUACACGUAACUCCUGGACCACAGGAAAGACUAGGAGUUCGUGAAGAUGCUCCUCGCCUUGGAGAAGCCUCCCAGGCUUUGUUUCCCUGACUGUGUAGAGGGCCGGACGCCAGACCACAUAGGUGUCGCCUCCGAGACCCCCGGGCAGGUUCCCCACGGAAAUCCCACCGGCCACGUCCUGCACCAGGUAAGCCUCCAGGAAAGCCCCCUAGGUUCUAAUCCCGGUUCCGCCCCUGUGUGACCUUAGCCAAGUCACUUCCCUCCUCGGUUCCUUCACCUGCAAGACGGGGAUUCGGUCCCUGUUCUCCUCCCGAGAGCCCCACGUGGGCUUCGAUCCACCCCAACACUUAGUACAGUGCUUGGCACUUCACAA